rnacentral:rRNA from 1 species
GACAGAGGGUGCAAACGUUGUUCGGAAUUACUGGGCGUAAAGCGUGUGUAGGCGGCCGCGACAGUCGGAUGUGAAGCCCUGGGCUCAACUCAGGAAGUGCACCCGAUACUACGUGGCUAGAGUACCGGAGAGGUUGGUAGAAUUCUCGGUGUAGAGGUGAAAUUCGUAGAUAUCGAGAGGAAUACCUGUGGCGAAGGCGGCCAACUGGACGAGUACUGACGCUGAGACACGAAAGCGUGGGGAGCAAACAGG